GCAGAGAGAAAAACAUCAACAAACUGCAGCUUUGCAUUUUUUUUUCUGCCGCGGAUGCUUUCGAUUAAAAUUGCGGAUCAAAUUGUAGUUUGAAGUGGUUUUUGGUGAUUGUUAAAGGCGCCACAAUGAGCGACGGCGACAAAACCAUGUACGGCACAACGCUGUCGCUGGAGUCGAUCAAGGUAAUCGCGGAAAGCAUCGGCGUCGGCAGCUUGCCGGAUGAUGCCGCCAAGGAGCUGGCAGACGAUGUGUCCAUCAAGCUAAAGCAAAUUGUGCAGGAUGCGGUCAAGUUUAUGCACCACUCGAAGCGGAUGAAGAUGUCGAUUGCCGACAUUGACCACUCGCUGAAGGUGCGGAACAUUGAGCCGCAGUACGGGUUCGUUUCGCCGGAUUUUAUUCCGUUCCGGUUCGCUUCCGGUGGUGGGCGGGAGUUGCACUUUAUUGAGGAGAAGGAGAUUGACCUGGCGGAGGUAAUUCAGACGGCGCCACCGAAGAUUCCGCUGGAUAUAACGCUGAGGGCCCAUUGGCUGUGUGUGGACGGAGUGCAGCCGACGAUUCCGGAGAAUCCGCCGCCGCUGUCGAAGGAUGUUCAGGCGUUGGACUCGGUGAAUCCGGUGAAUAAGCUGGACAAGGCGCACAUUAAGGACACGACGGGAAAGCCCGCGAUCGGGAAGGCUCACAAGCUGAAGAACGUGGAAACGGUCCACGUGAAGCAGCUGGCCACGCACGAACUAUCCGUGGAGCAGCAGCUGUACUACAAGGAGAUUACCGAGGCGUGCGUCGGAUCGGACGAAGCUAGAAGGGCCGAAGCGCUUACCUCGCUGGCGUGCGAUCCAGGACUGCACGAGAUGCUGCCGAGGAUGUGCACCUUCAUUGCCGAGGGCGUGAAGGUCAACGUGGUCCAGAACAAUCUGGCGCUGCUGAUUUAUCUGAUGCGCAUGGUGCGAGCCCUGCUGGACAAUCCGGCCCUGUAUCUGGAGAAAUAUCUUCACGAACUGAUCCCAUCCGUCUCAACCUGCAUCGUUUCGCGGCAGCUGUGCAUGCGCCCCGAACUGGACAACCACUGGGCGCUGCGCGACUUUGCCGCCCGGCUGAUGGCCCAAAUUUGCAAAAACUUCAACACUUCCACUAACAAUCUGCAGACGCGCGUAACGCGACUCUUCAGCGCGGCCCUGCAAAACGAUAAAACUCCCCUUUCGUCGCUGUACGGCGCCCUCGAGGGACUCUCGGAGCUGGGAACGGAAGUGAUCAAGGUGUUUAUCAUCCCUCGGUUGCGCUUCAUUUCGGACCGGGUCGAGGUGCACCUGCAGGGAAGCAACAUCAGUGCGGUGGACAAGAUUGCGGCCGGUCACAUCCGGGCCAUGCUGCAAAAGGUUUGCUCGCCGGUGCUGAAAACGCUCCGCAAUCCCCCGGACGUCGUCGAGGAAUACAAGAAAGAUUACGGCUUCCUCGGUCCAACCAUCCACCAGGGUGUGAUCAAGGCACGGACGGCACCUCCGACGGCCCCAACCUGUACCAGCAGCAGCAGCGUGUCCGUGAACAACGUUUCGAUCGUGACCACUGCGGCCACCACCCCCGCACGGCCACAGACUCCGCUGAUAAGCUCGGUUGUCAACAAACCGUCCGGUUCCGGAGCCAUCCAGCGGCAGUCAUCAUCCCAGGGUGGUUCCUCUGCCAGUGGACAGCAAAAGUUCGUCAUCGUUUCCCAACGCCAGCAGACGCCGUCGCCGUCGCAGGACGACUUUGUCGGGAUCAUCCAGCAAAGUCAGCGCUCCAGCGUGGGUGGAUCCUCCCAGCAGGGACUCAUCAAGAUCGAGCCCCAGUCGGGUGCCGCCGCCGUCGCCGCCCAGAAGCUGGUCGUAAUCAACCAGUCGACGCCGCAGCAGGGUCCGGCGGCGAAUGUCAUCACCAUCGGGGGCACCCAGACGGGACCGCCGCCCGAGUUGGACGAUUUGUCGCAUCUGGCGUAAGCAGGGCGGAGCAGCAUUUGAUUCAAUCAACCCUCCUGAACAAAACGUAGCCACAAAAGCCGCCACAAAAUAAAAUUUGCCAGCACAGUUUAACAGGACGUAAUGCGUGGUUGGUUCCCAAUUCCCCUCUCGUGUUCUUUCAUUGCGGUUUGCUGAGAAAACUAAACAAUCUUCGGCGAGUGAGCGAGUGUUAAAAAGAAGAAAACUCACAAGCUGUAGCGACGAGCGUUACACUUUCUGUCAUUUCGGUGCAGAUUAUGGUGACUUUAACGCUUUAACCGAAAUCUGGUCACUGACUUCGAAGUUAAUUCCUUAGAAUUAUUGUUUUCCAAAACUGCUUGGGAUGCUCGAUGAAGAUUAAAACUUGGGAACUUAAGACUAUUUUUUUUCUUUUGAUUUGAUAAAAAUAAAAAUUUGUUGAAAAUGGUUUGUGUUCGCUUAUGCCUGCUGAUUUGAGGAUAAAAAAAAGUCAAACACCAAACGGUUGUGCUGCAGCUAAAACAUUUCGUCUUUUAUUAUCGGAAUAUAUAAGUAGAAGUUAGAAGGAGUUCAAAAUAUACUAUACUUUCAGGUGUACGCUAGAUGUGUAAAAGUACUACUUUAAAAAAAAAAGUUUCACACCACGAACUGUGUUGAACACUCUGCUACUGGACUGUGGCGUGAUGCUAGAUAUAGAGAGAAUCACUAAUCUGGAAAAGCUCUUAUAUUAACAAUAUAUAUAUAUGUAACAUUUGUAACUUUGA